rnacentral:rRNA from 1 species
AUGCAGGAUACAAUGGGACCAAUGAGGUUUGCAUACAGUGAUACGGUCGCAAUCACAAGCUGCUUUGGAGAUAAGCUGGGCAAAGGGGGCUACGGUUCUGUGUACAAAGACAUGCUCCUUGGUGAGGUCGUUCUAGCCGUCCAGGUAUUGUGCAUAUCCAUGUGCAAUGGAGAAGAUUUCAUCAACGAGGUCUUCACCGUCGACCGGAUCCAUCAUGUGAAUGUUGUGCGCCUUGUGGGAUAUUGUUCAGAGGAACCAAAGAGGGCACUUGUGUAUGAAUACAUGCCCGGAGUCCUUGAUAAGUACAUAUUCUCACGCAAGAAGCAUUUCUCAUGGGACAAGCUCAAUGAGAUAGGUUUGGGCAUCGCCAGAGGGAUCGACUACCUACAACAGGGUUGUCGAUUGCAGUUACUACACUUUGACAUCAAUCCCCAUAACAUCCUCCUAGACAGUAAUUUCUUCCCAAAAGUGGCCAACUUUGGUAAGGCAAAACUGGAGUGA